UGAAGAUUCAACGUAAAACGCGGCGUUUCGGAGAUCCCUUAGAGUCGAAACUAUAAAAAAAACCUGCAUAUGCAAAACCUCAAAGCAGUCUCUCUUUCGCUUUACUUGCUUUCCAUUCCAACGAAGCUCGAAAUCAGCUAAGUUUCUCUUCACGAGGCCAAUCUCCCUCUCUUUCUCUCUCAUCAGAGUCUUUAACACCGACAAUGACCUCGCAAUCCCCGCCCACAACCGCGUUCUUCACACGCGCUACCCAAUCCACCUUCACGCGCCGCCCAUGGCGCGAGUGUCUCUCCCUCUCAUCCUUCGCCCGCCCCAUGUCCUUCGGCGGCGCCACCGCCCGCAUGAAGCGGAACCUCACUUACUUCCGCGUGAACUACGCCAUGAUUGUCCUGGUAAUCCUCUUCCUCAGCCUCCUAUGGCACCCAAUCUCCAUGAUCGUCUUCUUGGUCGUCUUCGUCGCCUGGUUCUUCCUCUACUUCUUCCGCGACGAUCCCUUGGUCAUUCUCAACCGUACAAUCGACGACCGCCUCGUUUUGGUGGUCCUCGCCGUAAUUACGAUCGUAGCCCUGGUUCUGACCGACGUUUGGCUGAACGUGGUGGUUUCCGUUUUGAUUGGGGCUUUUAUCGUGGGACUCCACGCAGCGUUUAGGGGAACGGAGGAUUUGUAUUCGGGUGAAUCGGACGGUGGCGAGGGUGGGCUGUUCUCGGUUGUGGGCAGCCCCACGCGAGCUGGGUACUCCCGCGUUUAAAUCCAAAUGCCGUCCGAGUUAUUACUAAUUUGACGGAUUGUGCUUGAGCUCGUGUCUUUGUCUUAAUAAAGUUUGGAUUUGUCGGUGUAUACGUGGAGAAGAAUGAUAACUGGAGAGUUGAUUGAAGCCAAUACUUGAAGGGGGUGGAGAUUGUAGUUUGAACAACACCCAGAGUCAUAGACAUGUGAUGGAUGAGAGGAACCAACAGAUGCGGGUACUCGCUGUGAUGUUGAUGCUGUUUGUAGCCACAAAUCGACUAAAUUAUACAAGUGCAACGUGGGAA